rnacentral:lncRNA from 1 species
AUUUAUUGUGUCUAGUUUUUUUUUUUUUUUGCUUGUUUUUCAUUUUAAAUGAUUCAAAAGCUCGAGACUGAAUUCCACUGAUUUUAAAAUAAUUAUUUCAUUAUCGUGACUUAGUGAGGGGAAAUCUACAAACUAAAGCGAUUUCCUGGCUCAGAAGAAGGCACAGAUGAGGGCGGAGAGAAUUAAUAAAACAACAAAUUCAAAACAAAUCGAAAAGCCCGGUUUCUUUGCCGGAUGCAAACAGCUGCCUGAAGCAAGCCAUUGCAAAUUCACUUGUGCUCGAGUAGGGACUACAUUUCUGAGCCUCCUUAAAAGUAGGAGGAGCUCCUCCGGGCUGCUGUCAGUCUCCUUAAGCCUUUCCUUUCAAGACUUGAAUAAAACGGAGAUACCACCGACUUCGGAGGGGUACGGGACCGAGCUGCCGAAGUCUGGUGGGGGAGGGGACAGAGCAGUGGAGGGACUGGAAGACUUCUCCACGGCCGAGAACGCGGGCGAUGGGCAGAAGCUGAGAGGAGCAGCGGCAACUCGGCCGGCGCAACGUUGAAAAAGAAGAGAAAAAAGCCCGGGACUGAGAGAAAGGGCAACUUUCCCGGGCAGCUCAGUUGCACAACGGAUCUGCCGGAGGACAGCAAGAUGAAUUCUCGCUGCAGCGCUUCGGUGCAACCAAGGGAGCCCCACCGAGGCCCCUUUCUCCAGAGCCUCCAAGGACAGCGCUGAGUUCCACCCGCUACGGGAGACUGUUUUGUGGGAGAUUUCGGGGGAUGAGGGUUGAUUAGCAGGUUUUUUUUUUUGCUUUGGGUGUUUUUUUUUUUCGACAGAAUACCUUCGAGCCAAACAUCCUAACCAAUUUUCACCAAGACAGGAAAAUCAAGCCGCACGAAUGGAUUUAUGAAAACCCUCAUGCAAAAAGUUGGCAGGAGUUUAGCAAACUUUUGCACAGACUCCACCUCCGGUGCCUCCUCCUUGUGGCCCUCCUCCCCUCCGUUUCCCCUCUUGUCCGGCUGCUGCUGCUGCUGCUGCUGCCGCUGCUGCAGCGGCGGCGGCGGCGGCUGCCGC